rnacentral:rRNA from 1 species
UACGUAGGGUGCGAGCGUUGUCCGGAAUUACUGGGCGUAAAGAGCUCGUAGGUGGUUUGUCGCGUUGUCCGUGAAAACUCACAGCUUAACUGUGGGCGUGCGGGCGAUACGGGCAGACUGGAGUACUGCAGGGGAGACUGGAAUUCCUGGUGUAGCGGUGAAAUGCGCAGAUAUCAGGAGGAACACCGGUGGCGAAGGCGGGUCUCUGGGCAAUAACUGACGCUGAGGAGCGAAAGCGUGGGGAGCGAACAGG